AUCGCGGGUGCAUUUCACGUGACGCGAUUCGCAAUAUGUACAAAAACAAUAAGUGCGCGACAUCGCGACUUAUUUAAAUAAACUCCAUAAAUCUUAAAAACUGAUUGAAUAAUUAAAAGCAGUAUAGAAGCAUUAAAUGCACAAUAGGUUUUAAAGUAUGUAUUAGAUCAAAUAAUUAGGCCAAUUAUUGAUAGUUGAGCGUGCUAAAACCACGGAAUCCGGAAAUUCCUAACACCUUCUAUCGGGUUAACAGAGUUCCUUAACCGGUCUUCUGGUUUUGCGGACUUUAAAAUAGAGUCAAAUUUCCUCGAUUUGGGAUUUAAAAUAAUCUGGUGACUUGGGACACCAUCAUAAUUAUUUCAAGUGGCGACUCUAAAUUAAAUAAAUAAUCUCAUUUCGAAUAAUAUCACUUUAUCCCCUCGGGAAAAAGGAGGUGUGACAAUGGAUAUAACUAAUACUGAUAAUUUCACACAACUAUAUUUAUAGGUACUCUAAAAAAUUACAUGGUGAUACAAAUAGUACAUUGAAUGCAGAUUAUAGCAGAACAAUAAUCGAAUAAGAAAGCAAAGAAAUGAGGCUGAACAACUUAAGAAACAACAGCAAUCUCCAACUUGAAAUACCGAGAAAUCAAUAAAAAAAAAUCCAGAAUAAUCAGUAAAAUCAUUGACUCAUACUCAAACAAUCACCAUCUAUCACUAGCUUUUAUUGGAAUUUCAGAAAUCUUCAGGAAAGAAAUGUGUUUAGAUUAAUGAUUUCUAUAACUCUUUCUCAGAGAAAAAAAAAGUAUUUUUAUCGUCUCUAAAAUCUCUCCAAGUUAAUCUUUAAACUGCCUCUUAAAAAGGAAAUGCAGACUUUAUAUAGAGUUUAGUCUUGGGUUUUCCCUUAAUUCACUACUUUCCCCUUUUUACCCCUCUGCCAACAGAUCCUAUGCCUUUAACCAGUGACAAUAACUCCACCCUCUCUUAGCACCUUCUUAGUAGUUACUCAACAACAAUAACUACAAUAACAACCCAGUAAAAUCCCACAUGUGAGAGGUCUGGGGAGGAUAUUGUGUACGCAUACUUUAUCCCUAUCUCGAUAGAGUAGAGAGGCUGUUUCCAAUAGACCCUCAGCUCAAGAAAACGAACAAGACAAAAAGAUACAAUAUAUUAGUACCAUCGACAGAAAUCACAGAAAUAAUAACAGCAUCAUAAGAACCAGAAAAUAGAUGAGACGCAAUAAUAAUAACCAAUAAAUAAGGCCCGGUGCCAUAAAAAAUGGACGAAUAGAGUGAACGCAACAUUAACCUCUAGCAGUCUAAGACAAACCCUAUCAGACUAACCACAUCCGGUACGAAGAAGAAAAAUGCUCAACUACCUCCUCCUAACCUACAAUCCUAAUGCUCGACUUCCACACCUUCCUAUCAAGGGUCAUGUCCUCGAAAAUCUGAAACUUCGCCAUGUCCUUUCUGAUCGCAUCUCCCCAGUACUUCUUAGGUCGCCCUUUACCUCUUCUCGUACUCGCCAAAGCCAACCGCUCACACCUUCUUACCAGGUAUCAGGGCUUCUUCUCCGUAUAUGCCCGAACCAUCUGAGCCUCGCUUUCUGCAUCUUAUCAUCUAUAGGAGUCACGCCCACCUUCUCCUGAAUAUCUUCAUUACUAAUCUUAUCAGUCCUAGUGUGCCCACACGUCCACCUCAAUAUCCUCAUUUCUGUUACUCUCAUCUUCUAUAUAUGUAAGUUCUUAACUGGCCAACACUCUACCCUAUACAACAUGGCUGGUCUAACCACUACUCUAUAAAACUUACCUUUGAGUAUCGAUGGCACUUUCUUGUUACAUAAGACUCCGGAUGCUGACCUCCAUUUCAUCUAUCCCACUCAUAUACGAUGUGUGAUCUCCUCGUCGAUCUCCCAGUUCUCCUGGAUAACCGACCCAAGGUACUUGAAACUGCCUCUCUUGGGGAUGACCUGCAAUCCAAGCCUCAUGUGCAUGCCCGGUUCCAUCAACUCGGCAUUGAACUUGCACUCUAUUGUGUGAAACUUUAUGGGCAUUUAAUAUUGAGCUUGUUUGAGAUUGGAUUAGUUAUUAUUUAACCAUUUUUAUAAUGUGAACUAGUGGUUGCAAAUAUUGAUUCAUUCCCUUGUGAUUUGACUCAUACUUGAGAAAGAGGAGUUGAAAUUUAGCAAUUUUGCUAACAAAGAAUUAGAUUAAUUGAGAGUUUGAUUAGAUCUAAUUAAAGAGAGUGAGUUAGAGAUAGGGAUCUCUUGACUAGGAUACAACAACACCUAAGCUUAAUGCAAUUCUAUUGACUCGAGAGAGCAUUUAAUUAGUCCACUUAAUAAUUGAGAAGCAUCAAGAGAGUAAAUUAGAGUGUGUAUCAUAAUAUUUCCAAUCACCCAAUCAAGCUCAGUAGAUAAUAUCCAUCUAGUGAAACACCUAGGUAAAGAAUAAAACUCUAGGUUUGUCAUUCUCUUAGUUAAUUCUCGCUUGUUACGUGUUUGUUGAAUUGCCUCUUACGAUAAUAGUUAAUGAAAUCCAUGGAUUAAUUAACUCAUACUUUUGGUUGAAAGCUAAUUAAAGAUAUGAUAAGUCUCGUUCUUAGGCAUCUAUCUUAAUAACUAUAUAAACUCUUUGUAGAUCGAUCCCGACUCUUACUUUGAGUUACUAUUGUAACGAUUGUUUUACUUCUCUUUUGGAGGUGUGUUUUGUAGCCAUCUUUGUAACUAAUGUCGAAUCUCUUCUUAUUUAGGAUUGACCAUUUCUUUGUUUCUAUCCGUACAUACGAGACUUUACGGUAAAACUUCUCUUGUUGACUCCUCAGUUGGAAUUGAUAUCAAUAAUUUUGACUCAUUUGACCUUGAAUUAAUUCUUCAGACAGCCCUCCAAUCCAUUGAUAGUUUUCAUAUAUGCAAUUUGGCAGUCUGCCAUGUGUAAAUAUUUAAUUUGUCCAUUUGGUAGGUUCACUUUUUACCUAUACAACUUUUUCAACCUAGUUUCUUUGCCGAUCCACUUUAUAAACUCUAAAACCAUUCCCCAUAAAUACUUUUUUCUAUUGUCAACCAUAUUUAUUCCCGAAGAAUUGUUGUUUCUUCUUCACAAGAAAACUCAAAAAGUAUACAAGGAAAUAUCUAGAAGAAUAGUCAAUGCACGGUGUUGGGCUAAAGAAGGAGAAAAUAUAUGUUUAUGAAUUUGAUGCAGAAAAGGGUGUUGGCCGUGGGAUGAGAUAUAGGUCAACAUUGAAGAAUAUAGUUUUUUUUUUUUUUUGGCAAGUUGGAAAAAUAAUAUGGGCACUAUUUUAAAAACAAACAUGCAUCUUGUAAUGUUGAAGAAAUGAAUUAGGAAAGUAGGUAGAUAUUCCUAUAUGUGGACCUUAUUUCUAUAUUGAGGGUUGUAUCAUAAGUGGACCAGACUAAGCUUUGGGGCUCAAUUGGUCUUACAAUUACUGGGCCAACGGAGAUAGAAUAGAGCAGGCCCAUUUACAAAUAGCCCAAUUAAUAAUUCAGCUUAAGUGAGGAGUAUUAAUACGCAGAAGAAGGAAGGAAGAAUGAGACUAAUUCUGGUAUAACAAUGGCGUCAAUGUAGUUCGAUUAUAGAAAUACAUCGUAACAAUCUCAAUUCUAUUACAAAUCAAUAAAGAAAUCCUAUUCUUUCCAUUAUUUCUUUCAAAUUCUAGUAUAUUACAAUUGGUAUCAGAGUUGAAUCCUGGUACCAUGACAGCACCAGAAACUCAAGCCAAAUCCACAGAAGAAAAUGUCAAAAACUGGAGACCCAGUUACACAAUUACAUGGCAGAAACAAAUAAGAAAUUGGAAUCCACUGAUUCCAAAAUGGAUGAUCUAAAUCACAAAUUUGACAUCAUGAUGGAUAAGUUGUUCGUGAGCAAGGAUGGAAUCCUUGGUAGUGCUCCAGUUGAGGCUCACCAAAUGGAUGGAUCGAGCAGCAAAAUGAGGAUGAUGGAACCACAGGAGAAUUCUUCUAGACUCAAACAGUGUUGCUGCUAAAGUGGAUUGCCCUUACUUUGAAGAGGGAGAUCCCAGAUCUUGGCUG